UACGUAGGGGGCCAGCGUUGUCCGAAGUUACUGGGCGUAAAGCGUGCGCAGACGGUCAUGUAAGUCGGGUGUGAAAGCCCCGGGCUCAACCUGGGAAUUGCAUUCGAGACUGUGUGGCUAGGGUGCGGAAGAGGGAAGCGGAAUUUCCGGUGUAGCGGUGAAAUGCGUAGAUAUCGGAAGGAACACCAGUGGCGAAAGCGGCUUCCUGGUCCAGCACCGACGUCAGGCACGAAAGCGUGGGGAGCAAACAG
rnacentral:rRNA from 1 species